GGGUUGGUGAGGGCAAUCUAGUCAACAUCCGUCACUCCAUUGCUUGUUAGGCUUAUUUUAGCCGAUGUGUCUGACUGGGCAGGUGUCCCCUCUCUCCCUCAGUGCUCCAUGUGCAUCCCUCUUGAAGCUUCGCACUCUGUUGAAGAGGACACUCAUCCCAGGUAGAGAGGGGGACGGGAAACUGGGCCAA
rfam:Homo sapiens chromosome 5, GRCh38 reference primary assembly.